GAUAAUCACUUCAAUGCAAGCUCAAAUGUAAAUAUGUUUUGUUUCAAUACCUCAAAGUGCAUAGCGAUGAUAUUAACCAUAAUUUCAGAAUUGUGUUAAGCAAUCGCUGUUGUUAUUUAGACAACUUUAUAUAGUAUAAUAAUAAACAAAAUAACUUCUUAAAGGGGCCUUUUCACAGAUUUUGGCAUGUAUUGAAGUUUUUCACUAAAUGCUUUAUAUUGAUAAACGUUAACAUUGGAUCUAAAACGCUACAGUAAAAUAAUCAUGAAUACAAUCUAAAAAAAGAAAGAAAAGUAACCCUCAUCAGGGCUCGAACCCCUGACCAAUGGAGUCCUGGAGUAAAAGUCUACCACUUAAACCUCUCGGCCAUCCGUGCUCAUACAUUGAGGAAUGUAUUUUAUUCUUUAUAUAAGCAAUCCUUGUAUUUAAAUAUAAAAUAUAACGACAACAACAGACUCUCCAAAUUAUUCAAUCGUUUCGCGUUGCAACGCUUUAUUAUUUUCAGGUUUUUACAUCGUCAAACGAUGCAUAUAAUGGCUAUUUAAGAGCAUGGUAAAUGUUCAGUAUUGCUGUUUCCUCACAAAUAUCAUAAUUAAAACGAAAGUGUGCGAAUCUGACACAACUUUUUUUUUAUAAUUUUGUCAAUUUACCAAAACGUGAAAAGGCCCCUUCAAUUAAUAAUUCAAUUCUAACGAACAACAUGAAAUUCCAAAAAAAGAUCUUGAUACGCGUUCACAAUUGGAUUUCAACUCAAACAUACUGCUGAUUAACCCGCUUGUUUUAAUUUGAAAUGUUUUCAAUACAUUCUAAAAUACCACUAAGGAGGGUACCAGACGUGACCCAGGGGGACGGCGAUUUAAAAGUUACUUGGUAAUGGAACAACAAUACGGUGGUAUAAACCUUAUAUCAAAUAUCAAACAAAUUAGCCUUGUGCUUCCAAUAGCGAGCUUUUCUCUAUCUAUUGAGCGUAUCGCGAUAAAAUGACACAAAGCUUAUGGAUAAUGGUAAACAUGGCAAAGCGAAACCGGAAUGCAUUGCAACUGUUUUGGAAACGAAUCUUUUCAUUGGUUGAAUUUCCCUGCAGAAUAGAACACGGAAACUAGUGCGAUAUCUCAUUAUUUAUGCAUGCCUACGAAUGUUUGCUAGCUUUAACUGCUUUAUCAGCGUAGCGUAAUUGAGUUAACAUGGGUUCAAACGAUGAGAUUUCUCAUUCAGGAUAUGAGUUUCUUGACGAUUUUUCAAUUGCACUAUACAUAAUUAUCAGGAAAACUGGACCCUUGCAGUUGCCAUUCAAAACAGAACAGAAAUGUUAACCCCUUAAUAUAUUUUGCAGAUCUACAGAAACUAUAUCAAUGUUUUGGGCGCCUUUUUAUGUACUCAUGUGCUUGGACAUCCGAAAAAUAUCGGAAACUAAAAGUGUCUACUACAAAGCUACAGAGCCGGAUCCCCGAGGAUCUUAUUUUCAUGUUGCAACCGAAGCUCAGCUAGUUUACAAAACGAUUUCCGUUCUCUGCAAUAAUGCAGACUAUGAACUACCCUACAACAACAACAUUUUGACCAAAUCAGCUCGGUGAAAAGCAGUUUUGUUUUUUUGUGCCGCUGUCUUCGUUCAAGUUUUUAA